rnacentral:rRNA from 2 species
GAGUUUGAUCAUGGCUCAGAUUGAACGCUGGCGGCAUGCCUUACACAUGCAAGUCGAACGGCAGCACGGGAGCUUGCUCCUGGUGGCGAGUGGCGAACGGGUGAGUAAUGCAUCGGAACGUAUCCUGGAGUGGGGGAUAACGUAGCGAAAGUUACGCUAAUACCGCAUAUUCUGUGAGCAGGAAAGCGGGGGACCUUCGGGCCUCGCGCUCUUGGAGCGGCCGAUGUCGGAUUAGCUAGUUGGUGAGGUAAAGGCUCACCAAGGCGACGAUCCGUAGCAGGUCUGAGAGGAUGAUCUGCCACACUGGAACUGAGACACGGUCCAGACUCCUACGGGAGGCAGCAGUGGGGAAUUUUGGACAAUGGGGGCAACCCUGAUCCGGCCAUGCCGCGUGAGUGAAGAAGGCCU